UACGGAGUGUGCAAGCGUUACUCGGAAUCACUGGGCAUAAAGCGCGCGUAGGCGGGACGACAAGUCGGAUGUGAAAUCCCUCAGCUUAACUGAGGAGCUGCAACCGAUACUGUCAUUCUCGAGGACGAAAGGGGAGAGCGGAACUUCUGGUGAAGCGGUGAAAUGCGUAGAUAUCAGAAGGAACGCCGGUGGCGAAAGCGGCUCUCUGGUUCGUAUCUGACGCUGAGGCGCGAAAGCUUGGGUAGCAAACGGGAUUAGAUACCCUAGUAGU
rnacentral:rRNA from 1 species